CGUGAACCAGGAGAAAGAAUGAUGGAGUCCUUCGGUGUUUCACUAGUGAUUCUGUGGUUUCACUUCAACUGGGUGAGCAGCCAGCAGAAGGAGGUGGAGCAGAGUCCUGAGUCCCUCAUUGUUCCUGAGGGAGCCAUUGCUUCUCUCAACUGCACAUGCAGGGACAGUGCUUUUCGAAACUUCAAUUGGUACCGACAGUAUCCUGGGAAAGGCCCCGAGUUGCUGAUGUCCAUGUACUCCAGUGGUGACAAAGAAGAAGGAAGAUUUAAAAUGCAACUCAACACAGCCAGCCAACUUGUUUCCCUGCACAUCCGAGGCUCCCAGCACAGUGACUCUGCUGUCUAUCUCUGUGCAGUGAGCACACAGUGCUCCCCAGGCACCUGCAGCCUGCACUCAAACCACAGGGGCCCAGGCAGGCCUGAGGGAGAGCAGAGACCAAGGGAGAGGGGAUUUUGUACCUGUUCCAGAUGCAGGAGGGAUUAAGAACAAGAGUAGAGAC